GGAAGAUAAAGAAUAUUCUGAAUUCGUCAACUUCACUGGUGGUGGUGGAUAGUAAUCGAAGAUAAAAAAAAAUGGUUACGUGCUCCUCUGUUCUCGGGUUAGAUUUGCUCUGGAUCAAUGUUUCUUCGGUUUGUAUCUUGCUCUUUGUUCUUUAUGGUUUACAUUUUUGUGAUGUUACAGUUCGUUUAAAGUCUUUGUUGCUUGAAGAAAAGAAAUAUAUAUACACCACCAUUUCAAUACGGUUUUUAGGAUUAUCUGUCUAACUUUCAUAAUUUCUUGUGUUUUCUGGAAUUUUCAGAAGCAUCUAAGGUUUUACUAUGUUGGCGUGAAGCUGUAUGGGAAGCUCAUUGUGGAGAAUAUAAUUAAUUUAAUAUGGUCAAUUUAGUUUUUGAUGAAGAACAGAUCAGUGGUGAGUUCUCCUACAAUUUUCGUCUUCUUGAAAUAUGUUUUUUUUUUGCAAAUUAUUUUGUUGGUUGCUGAUGAUGAUAAUGUAUUAGUGUGGUUCUGGUUCAUCAUAGUUACCAAUUUCAGUACUGCGAAUCAAGGAAGCGGUAGGUAAUGUUAAUAAACACAAAGUACGGUUGUCUUUGGACCAACGUCUAUAAAUUGAAGAAUGCAUUCAUACAUUCAUUCAUGCAUUCAUACAUUCAUUCAUGCAUUCAUACAUUCAUUCAUGCAUUCAUUCAUUCAUUCAUUCAUUCAUUCAUUCAUGCAUUCAUACAUACAUCCAUACAUUCAUUCAUGCAUUCAUCCAUGCAUCAAUACAUACAUACAUCCAUGCAUUCAUAAUCAUACAUCCAUGUAUACUUGUCAACUUGCUUCCCUUGCACAUUGAUAAUUUCUUGUGACUUGUGAAAUCAUGAAAAGGAUCAGCUAUGUACAGAAAACCCUAUGUAUGAAGAGGUGAAUGGUAAUUUUUCACUUCCCCUCUAUUUCAUUGACCUCACUCUUAAUAUUGUAUUUGUCAGUAAUCAGCGGAGUUCAACUAAGUGUCUAGAAUCAGAUCAGUUCAUACUUCGGCAAAUGGGGUGUGAAGGCAUGCGGGUCUUGACGUAAAAAAAUCAUCAUGGCCUGGUAUUGCAAAUCCAUUUUUGAAUUUUCUGUAUAUGUUUUGUGUUGUGCAAGCUGAAUAUUGUUUUAACAGUCUUAGUUCUUCAUUUAAAUUUCAUUAUAUGGUUUCAUAGCCAAUCAUCUGGUAUCUGAUGAAUACUGCUCAGAUCGAUGUUUCGGCUUAUGCAGUAGUAGCAGUACCAUAUAGAAAUUUUAUAGGAAGGUAUGCAUGUGUUGUCCUACUCAAGCUUUUGUAAGUAUCGUUAGUAUCCAAACUAAAUUUCAUCUAUCUGUUGAUGUGCAAGCAGGGACGAUUGAAGGAAAAGUUACAUAUGGAAAGAAGUUGAGAU
rnacentral:lncRNA from 1 species